rnacentral:rRNA from 1 species
AUUGAACGCUGGCGGCAGGCUUAACACAUGCAAGUCGAGCGGAGAUGAGGUGCUUGCACCUUAUCUUAGCGGCGGACGGGUGAGUAAGGCUUAGGAAUCUGCCUAUUAGUGGGGGACAACAUUCCGAAAGGAAUGCUAAUACCGCAUACGCCCUACGGGGGAAAGCAGGGGAUCUUCGGACCUUGCGCUAAUAGAUGAGCCUAAGUCGGAUUAGCUAGUUGGUGGGGUAAAGGCCUACCAAGGCGACGAUCUGUAGCGGGUCUGAGAGGAUGAUCCGCCACACUGGGACUGAAACACGGCCCAGACUCCUACGGGAGGCAGCAGUGGGGAAUAUUGGACAAUGGGCGGAAGCCUGAUCCAGCCAUGCCGCGUGUGUGAAGGAGGCCUUUUGGUUGUAAAGCACUUUAAGCGAGGAGGAGGCUACCUGGAUUAAUACUCUAGGAUAGUGGACGUUACUCGCAGAAUAAGCACCGGCUAACUCUGUGCCAGCCGCCGCAGUAAGAC